rnacentral:tRNA from 1 species
AUUUAAGUAGUUUAUUUAAAAUAUUGAUUUGUGGAAUCAAAGAAAUUAUAUUUAAUCUUAAAUA